CUGACAAGGUACAAAUCUGUCCUUCUGCCGCUGAACAGGCACUGUUCCUAGGCCGUCAUUGAAAAUAAUAAUUUGUUCUUAACUGACUUGCCUAGUUAAAUAAAGAUACAAAAAUAAGAAAGACAUAAAAGAAAGUACAGUUCUGAACUUGAAUGAACCAUAUGCUGUGUAUUAAAUUUUACUUGGAUGGACACACAACACUAUUUUCUCAAGCAGUAAGUAGGUACCUGAUUAAAAAACAUUCCAAGCUGAGCUCCAACCACGUCUCAUGUCAUCUGUUGUGUAUCUCAAUCCCAAAUGACUGGAAAAGAGCACUAUUUAAAUGACUGUGUGUGUGUGGGGCAGUGGAGGCUGCUGAGGAGAGGACUGCUCAUAAUAAUGUCUGGAACGGAGCAAAUGGUAUGGCACUGAACACAUGGAAGCCAUGUGUUUGAUGUAUUUUUGAUACCAUUCCACCUAUUCCACUCCAGCCAUUACCAUGAGCUCCUCCUCCCCAAUUAAGAUGCCAAUUAAGUAGGGGGUUGGUAGGUGUGGAGUGUGUUGGGUAACAUGGUGCUGGGUGGGUGGAUAGGUGUGUGUGUGUGUGUGUGUGUGUGUGUGUGUGUGUGUGUGUGUGUGUGUGUGUUUAAUAGUAUGGAUAGGUAGAAAGGGAGCGUCAAUUGACAGUGGGUUUCUGAGUAAAUGCACUGUUUGCUAUCAUCUUGUGUAGGCUACGUGUCUGGCAAGUAGUUGUGUCCAUGUGAGUCACAGAAUAAACAUUUAUUUAUUAGUCUGAUGUGUGUCUGAAUGCUCCUACCUACAUCAUACUCUGCCCCUAUGUUGAACAUUUUGUACUCACUCAUAUCCAGUUGACAUGCCACCACCUUGUGGCUACCAAGAGCAUUGCAAGGAAAAUGCAAUAGUCACCAUAGUCACAAACCUGAGUUUGGAGUGUUGCGUAGUCUUGUAAUUUGGUGAGAGUCUUAAAGAUUAAGGAAAGUAAACUGGUGUGCUCUCUUUAAAAACUAAAAGCAUUUGUUUGUGAAGUUAAUCCACCUAUAAUGUCUCCACUUGUUCCCUCUCAUCUGUACAACCCAGUACUAAUCUCAGUUUUGGCCCUAAAGUGCUCAGCUCUUAAAGUGGGGGUUGUGCACUCAAUAAACUUUUUCAAAAUAUGGAUUUCAAAAUAUGAUCAUUAUCAUGUUUCCAAUCAUAAAGGCCUGAGUAUGUUUAAUUUGUAGUGGGCAAUAUCUGCCCAUGUUACUGUCUGCACUUUUUACUAUGCUUAGUUCUUGUGGAUUUCAAAUCACAUGACACAGUGUUUCGGGGGAUCAUUUUGGCCAAGGCGAGCAGUAUUGCUUAUCUUGAUCACAUAAUGAGUAGUAAUUUGGGAUGCAAGGUGAUUUGUAAUUUGCAGUCCGAAUGCAAUAUAGUAAAUCUCAAACAUGCAAAUUGUGUAAUGUGGUUGCUGUCCACCAGGAAGAGCUGUGCAGCAGAAUGGCCACUGUGCUGCCAUCCUGCUAGAAGAUAACGAAUCAUUAAUUUUAUGACAAUGGUUAAGAUGGAUUUUCAUUGUGUUCCAUGGUGUUAUUCGCCCCCUAGUGGAGCUUUCUGGUACUUAGACUGUAAGGAAAACAGAAAGAGACACGCAGAGAAGGAAACAGGAAGAGACGCCGAGAAGCAGCUAAAAACAACGCUACAGUCUUUUGUCACGCUUCAAAAUAUUUGUUUUAGGGAAAGGGAAGUUUGGCGAGGUGCUGCUGGCCAAGGCGAAGGCCAUCGAGGAGGGCGAGGAGGAUACAGUGGUGCUGGUGAAGAGCCUGCAGAGACGAGCAGCUGCAGUUAGUCUUCAGCCGCCAGGCCAACAUUUUCUCCAAGCUGAGCCAUGGCAACGUGGUGCGACUGCUGGGGUUGUGUAGGGAGGCCAAGCCCCACUAUAUGAUUCUGGAGUACUAUGAGCUGGUCUGCAAGCAGGCAAGAUUAAGCUGCCCAUGCCCGAUGGCUGCCCCUGAAGUCUACAAGCGCAUGUGCCACUGCUGGGCACCCAGUCUCAAAGAGCGCCCCUCCUCCAGUGAGUUCGUCAAUGCCCUGGGGGAGCUGUCCUCGGACAGUUAAGCUUGAGAGGAGGACAACUGACCCCACCCCACCUCCAUCUCUGCCCCCCUCCCAAAUGAACACAGAAAUGCUGGAUUUUUCUGAGUCACAGAUUUCAGGGACGAGGUGCGUGGCAAGGAGUUAUUAUUUCUAAGGACGUGUGGAUAAGAAGAAGAUAAUACUUUUUUAUACCCUUGCGUGUGUGUAGAUGGUUUCAUGUGAGGAGUGCCAGGAGUUUACCUUUGCCUUAAUUGCAGCAUGGAAGGCAUGCCCGCUGACGCUGUCCCUCUUUGCUCAUGUGGUUUCACUGUGCCCAUGCCUGGCAUGGGUCUCUCAGGGUGUGUCCUAGAGACGCUCUCCCUCUACUCUAUGACCCUGCAGCACAGGAACCAUAGGAACUACAGUGCCUCUCCUUGCCUACCAGGACCUCAAUCUACCAACCCUUAAAUCCCCCCAACUAAUCCAGGAGGAGAAUUUAAACUACUUUUGUCCAGCAGGGGGCACAUUGUGUAUGUGCUGCACUGGACUCACCACCUGAAUGCUGUAUGUGCAGUACCGUGAAAAUGUAUUUGCCCCCUUUCUAAUUUUCUCUACUUUUGCAUAUAUAUUUAUUUAUUAAAUACAAAUUUGUAUUUUUACUACUUUUUCUCCCCAAUUUCGUGAUAUCCAAUUGGAAGUUAGUCUUCUCCCAUCGAUGCAACACUGACUCGGGAGAGGUGAAGGUCGAGAGCCAUGCGUCCUCCGAAACACGACCCUGCCAAGCGACACUGCUUCUUGACACACUGCUCGCUUAACACGGAAGCCAGCCGUACCAAACAUCGUCCAGCUGGCAACCGUGGUCAGCUUGCAGGUGCUUGGCCUGCCACAAGGAGUUGCUAGAGUGCAAUGGGACAAGGAAAUCCCGGCGGACCAAACCCUCCCCUAAUGCAGACAACACUAGGCCAAUUGUGCGCCACCUCAUGGGUCUCCUAUUCACGGCCGGCUGUGACACAGCCUGGGAUCGAACCCGGGUCUGUAGUGAUUCCUCAAGUGCCUUAGACAGCUGCGCCACUCGGGAGGCCCUACUUUUGCAUAUUUUUGAUACUGAAUGUUAACAGAUUUUCAACCAAAACCAAAUAUUAGACAAUGGGAAUCUGAGUGAACAGAUAACACAACAAUGACAUACAGUACUUAUUUCAUUUAUUUCAUACAGAAAGUUAUGCAACACACAAUGCCCCUGUGUGAAAAAAAGUAAUUUCCCCCUUACACUCAAUAACUGAUUCUGCCACCUUUAGCUGCAAUGACUCCAAACAAACUGUUCAUGUAGUUGUUUAUCAGUCUUUCACGUCGCUGUGGAGGAAUGUUGGCCCUCUCUCCCAUGCAGAACUCAGCGACAUUUGUGGGUUUUCAAGCAGGAACUGCUUGUUUCAAUUCCUGCCACAACAUCUCAAUUGCAAUUAGGUCUGGACUUUGACUAAGCCAUUCCAAAAUGUCAAAUUUGUUGCUUUUUAGCCAUUUUCAUGUAGACUUGAUUUUGUAUUUUGGAUCAUUGUCUUCCUGAAUGUCCCAGCUGCGCUUCAGCUUCAGCUCACAUACGUAUGGCCUGUCAUUCUUCUGUAGAAUUCUCUGAUACAGAGCAUAAUUCAUGGUUCUUUCUAUUAAGACUAGUCGUCCAGGUCCUGAGGGAGCAAAGCAUCCCCAAAUGUUUGUUUUUUAUGAAGGCUAUGUGCUUACACUUAGGCCUGUUUUUGAAUCCGCUUCAGCUAAUGGCCACAGUAACCAUGAUGUAUACAAGCUGCUACCAAUAAAGUUUCAUGUGUUUUUAAA